rnacentral:rRNA from 1 species
AUUGAACGCUGGCGGCAUGCCUUACACAUGCAAGUCGAACGGUAACGGGCCUUCGGGUGCCGACGAGUGGCGAACGGGUGAGUAAUGCAUCGGAACGUACCCAUCAGUGGGGGAUAACUCUCCGAAAGGAGGGCUAAUACCGCAUAUUCUGUGCGCAGGAAAGCGGGGGACCGCAAGGCCUCGCGCUGAUGGAGCGGCCGAUGUCAGAUUAGCUAGUUGGUGGGGUAAAGGCCUACCAAGGCGACGAUCUGUAGCGGGUCUGAGAGGAUGAUCCGCGACACUGGGAGUGAGACACGGCCCAGACUCCUACGGGAGGCAGCAGUGGGGAAUUUUGGACAAUGGGGGCAACCCUGAUCCAGCCAUGGCGCGUGAGUGAAGAAGGCCUUCGGGUUGUAAAGCUCUUUCGGCCGGGAAGAAAUCGCAUCUCCUAAUACGGGGUGUGGAUGACGGUACCGGAAUAAGAAGCACCGGCUAACUACGUGCCAGCCGCCGCAGUAAAAC